rnacentral:lncRNA from 1 species
GGAGGUUCGAGUUGAUGCUACCUAUUCCAGAUGAAAGACUUCCCAAGGAGGGUGGGCAAAGUGCAAUGAGAAGAUGUCAAGGUGGCGGCCUGAGGGAUACUCAUGUUCAGUGGCAAGAGGAAGAAGAGCCCGUGAAGGAAACGCACAUAGAUGGGCAGAGAGGGAGAGCACAGAGAGAGAAGAGGAGUGAAUGGAACCACAAGAGGGCAGUUCCAAUCCUGGUCAUGAAUCUGCA